AAUGUUGUGCUUUUUCUGUCCGAAAUUAUGGGAAUGUACUUUGUCUCGUCUAUUCUUUUAAUAAGGAAAAGCUUAGCAAAUGAAUACAGGAUGAUCAUAACAGAUGUAUUGGGAGGAGAUAUUCAGUUUGAUUUCUAUCACCGGUGGUUUGAUGCCAUCUUCGUAGCAAGUGCUUUCCUUUCUCUGCUUUUGCUUUCUGCACAUUAUACAUCACGACAAUCUGACAAACACCCAGUUGAUUGAUAUACUCAUCGUGCAAGUAUCAGUCAAUGAAAUAUCUUAGUUCUUGAUCAAUUGAAGCAGCUGUAAAAAAUUUCCCAAAUUUGAAUCAUCACAUGACCAGUUCUUAAGCCUUUAAUCAAUAUGACAGUACAGAUAAAAAAAAUUACUGAAAAUGCAGUGAAAAGCUUAUGAAUAAAUGGAAUCGAGUAUUUGAGUAACACAUCAU
rnacentral:misc_RNA from 1 species